rnacentral:rRNA from 1 species
GAAAAGAAACUAACAAGGAUUCCCCUAGUAACUGCGAGUGAAGCGGGAAAAGCUCAAAUUUAAAAUCUGGUAGUCUUUGGCUGCCCGAGUUGUAAUCUAGAGAAGCGUUAUCCGCGCUGGACCGUGUAUAAGUCUCCUGGAAUGGAGCGUCAUAGAGGGUGAGAAUCCCGUCUUUAACACGGACUCCCAGGGCUUUGUGAUGCGCUCUCAAAGAGUCGAGUUGUUUGGGAAUGCAGCUCUAAAUGGGUGGUAAAUUCCAUCUAAAGCUAAAUAUUGGCGAGAGACCGAUAGCGAACAAGUACCGUGAGGGAAAGAUGAAAAGAACUUUGGAAAGAGAGUUAAACAGUACGUGAAAUUGUUGAAAGGGAAACGCUUGAAGUCAGUCGCGUUGAUCAGGGAUCAACCUUGCUUUUGCUUGGUGUACUUCCUGGUUAACGGGUCAGCAUCAAUUUUGACCAGUGGAAAAAGGUCAGGGGAAUGUGGCAUCUUCGGAUGUGUUAUAGCCUCUGGUCAUAUACAUUGGUUGGGAUUGAGGAACUCAGCACGCCGCAAGGCCGGGUUUUACCACGUUCGUGCUUAGGAUGCUNGCAUNA